AGAGACAGCAGUCGCCACGGUAAUACAGAGGGUGCGAGCGUUAAUCGGAUUUACUGGGCGUAAAGCGUGCGUAGGCGGCUUCUUAAGUCGGAUGUGAAAUCCCUGAGCUUAACUUAGGAAUUGCAUUCGAUACUGGGAAGCUAGAGUAUGGGAGAGGAUGGUAGAAUUCCAGGUGUAGCGGUGAAAUGCGUAGAGAUCUGGAGGAAUACCGAUGGCGAAGGCAGCCAUCUGGCCUAAUACUGACGCUGAGGUACGAAAGCAUGGGGAGCAAACAGGAUUAGAUACCCGCGUAGUCCCUGUCUCUUAUAC
rnacentral:rRNA from 1 species